GGUCUGCAUGGCUGACCCCACCACCACCCUGGAGAUGGAGACAGGAGGCUGGGAUGGGGAUGGAGGUCCCUAGUCUUCCUGAGGCCUUUCUGUGAACACAGGGCUGUGCCUGGCAGUGCCUGUUGCAUGCUUGUUAUUCCUUUAAGAUUUUUUCUGGAGUCUGGAAAAAGGACCCCUUCUUGCUCUCAGAAACAAACAUUGCCCAAUUAGAUGUUUGCCCCUGCUACAGGAGUUUCUUUCCCUGUUUUUACCAUGGAGACAAGCUCUUUGGUCCUGCUUCCCCCUGAGAAUCAGUACAUUUAGCAAAGUGAAGGCUCACUGCAGGAGCAGCCCCUGGAGCAGGAGGAGGGAGACGGGGAGGAAGGUGAGACAGGAGAAAAAAAGAGAGGAAGGAAAUACAGAGAGCAAGCUGGAGAAGAAGGAAAGGCCAGUGCCCACUCCAUUGGCAGAGGAGCACCCAGGCUGGAACUGGUGGCAGAAGCUGGCCUGCAGGAGAGAUCUGGAUGUAGGACUCUCAGCAACUUCUCCAGCACCAUGUCUGCCUGCAUGCCGCCAUGCUUCCUGCCAUGAUGACAAUGGACUAAAUGUUGGGAUCCGUAAGCAGGCACUUCUAUGGCCAGCCCCAAGGGACCUGAUAGAGCAGUUAUCAGGCAUUUGUGAAGACACCCUGACGACCUGAAAUUACCUGCGAAUGCCCUGGGUCACCCUAUAAGAGAACUGGAGCCCUCCCCUCCCUCUCUCUCCUCUUCUUCUUCCGCUCUCUGACUCUUCCUUUCUCUCUUCCUCUCUCUGUAACCCCCUUCCCCUAAUAAACCUCCCACGUGAAACCGAUCUCGUGGUGUGAUUUGUGGACCCGAGUGUAACCUCCACAGGCACACGCUUCCUAACAUUCCUGCUUUGGUCCUAACACUAAACCUCUGAAACUGUAAGUCAGUCCCCAUUAAAUGUUUCCCUUUAUAAGAGUUUCCAUGGUCAUGUUGUCUCU